AGUGUCUAUUGUAUGUUUGAUAAAAACUUGUAUUACCCUUACAAACAGGUGCAAACAAUAAAUCCUCUUUUGCAGCCCAGAAUUCAUUGUUGACUAGGAGUUUUUGGUACACAUAAGAAUGAAUAUG
ensembl:snoRNA